GACGAACGCUGGCGGCGUGCUUAACACAUGCAAGUCGAGCGAUGAAGCACCUUCGGGUGUGAAUUAGCGGCGAACGGGUGAGGAACACGUGAGAAAUCUGCCUUCAACACUGGGAUAACUCCGGGAAACCGGGGCUAAUACCGGAUAUGAAACCUGCGGGCAUCCGCGGGUUUGGAAAGUUUUUCGGUUGAAGAUGAUCUCGCGGCCUAUCAGCUUGUUGGUGAGGUAAUGGCUCACCAAGGCGACGACGGGUAGCCGGCCUGAGAGGGCGACCGGCCACACUGGGACUGAGACACGGCCCAGACUCCUACGGGAGGCAGCAGUGGGGAAUUUUGGACAAUGGGGGCAACCCUGAUCCAGCCAUGCCGCGUGAGUGAAGAAGGCCUUCGGGUUGUAAAGCUCUUUCUAGCCGGGAAGAAAACGACACUCUCUAACAUAGGUGUGGAUGACGGUACCGGAAGUAAGAAGCACCGGCUAACUACGUG
rnacentral:rRNA from 1 species